UACGUAGGGGGCUAGCGUUGUCCGGAUUUAUUGGGCGUAAAGAGCGUGUAGGCGGCUGGGUAGGUCCGUUGUGAAAACUCGAGGCUCAACCUCGAGACGCCGAUGGAAACCCUCCAGCUAGAGUCCGGAAGAGGAGAGUGGAAUUCCUGGUGUAGCGGUGAAAUGCGCAGAUAUCAGGAGGAACACCAAUGGCGAAGGCAGCUCGCUGGGACGGUACUGACGCUGAGGCGCGAAAGCGUGGGGAGCGAACAGG
rnacentral:rRNA from 1 species